AACAUGCAUGAUCAGCUAAAAUGUGAACCUUACCCCUGUUUCAGUUCAACAUCCAGCCGGCAAUGACGUUUGCGAAAAACAAAACAUUUGUUGUACAUACUGUUAUUAACAAACUGGAUAAAUUAAAUUUAGAAAAGUAAAUUGAGGUUAUAUAUAUGAUAGUCGAUCCGGAAUGACUGUUGGUGAUGAAUGAACGUUGGCCGAUGCAAGCUGUGUCAACGUAGAAACCUGUAUCCGAGAUACAGGAUUCCCUGAAACACUUUUUAAUCCCGAUAUGUGCCGCAAGUAUACGAAAUAAAGAUAUACUUAAUGCUAUUAAUUAAAAACAAGCAAGCACCAGUUUACGUACAAAUAUCAUAACAGUCGAAUCCCAAAAUGGAACCGAAUAGCCUUAUUAUAAUAUCAACCAAUGCAGCAUCAUCUGUUAAGAACGUUAUACGCUGAAUUACCACCGCCUCGCAAAUUGCCGAG